rnacentral:rRNA from 1 species
UAGGGAAUCUUGGUCGAUGGGCGCAAGCCUGAACCAGCCAUGCCGCGUGUGCGAAGAAGGCCCUAGGGUUGUAAAGCACUUUCAGUCGUGAAGAAAUGCUUCGGGUUAAUACCCCGGAGUUUUGACGUUAACGACAGAAGAAGAUCCGGCUAACUCCGUGCCAGCAGCCGCGGUAAUACGGAGGGAUCGAACGUUAAUCGGAAUUACUGGGCGUAAAGCGCGCGUAGGCGGUCUGAUAAGUGGGAUGUGAAAGCCCCGGGCUCAACCUGGGAACUGCAUUCCAAACUGUCAGACUAGAGUAUGGUAGAGGGUGGUAGAAUUUCCUGUGUAGCGGUGAAAUGCGUAGAUAUAGGAAGGAAUACCGAUGGCGAAGGCAGCCACCUGGACCAAUACUGACGCUGAGGUGCGAAAGCGUGGGGAGCAAACAGGAUUAGAUACCCCCGUAGUCC